rnacentral:lncRNA from 1 species
GUUUGUUGGUCCCUUCCAGCAAGUAAGGAUGCAGCAAAGAGGCCAUUUGGGAAUCAGGAAGUGAACUAUCCCCAGGUCUCAAUUACCCAACACUUUCAUCUGGGACGUCCCAGGCUCCAGAACUGUAAGGACAGACUCACGGUGCUUAUGAACUCUGUGGUAUUCUGUUAGAACAGCCUGAAAGGACAAAGUCAAUGCCCAGGGAUGACUUUCUCCUAGCUCCUCAUUGUAGCUGGUGCUGUUGCCACCUGGAGCCACAUGCUUGGCCAAGCAUACUCAGCUGCUCCAGCCCCUGAUUCUCACAGCUGGUGUGAGUCACUCUCUAUUCCUGCAAGCAGCAGGCACACUUGAGAGUCGGAAACUUCUCCACAGCUCAUGUCCAGGCAUUUCUAGAAAGUGGGUGAGAUCAUGAUGGUCCAAGCUUGAAAUCUGAUUCAAUAAAAAUAAUCUAAAAUGGGAUCAGUGAGCAGUGCAGUUUUUAAACUCAUGGAAGUUAAAUAAUACCUGUGGCUACUAAAG